UUUCCGUAGGUGAACCUGCGGAAGGAUCAUUAAAGGUUGCUAACCCGGGGCUAACCCCCCCGGUGUUACGCUUCAAACCCCAAUGUCUAUCGUUUAAGAAAACCCUUUUUUUAAACUCCAGAUCAUGGAUUUAUCAAAAAACAAGUUAUUAAAAACUUUCAACAACGGAUCUCUUGGGACACCAGUCGAUGAAGAACGCAGC
rnacentral:misc_RNA from 1 species